rnacentral:misc_RNA from 1 species
AAGUCGUAACAAGGUUUCCGUAGGUGAACCUGCGGAAGGAUCAUUACUGAAUUUAAUGCCUUGGUUGUAGCUGGCCUUUACAGGCAUGUGCACACCUUGGACAUCCAAUUCUUAUACCUCUGUGCACUUUACAUAGAAUGGUGGAGGCCACUUCGGUGGUUUGAAGCUAUUCUAUGCCAACAUUAAACCAUUUAGUAUAGAAUGUUUAUCGCGUUUGACGCAAUUAUAUACAACUUUCAGCAACGGAUCUCUUGGCUCUC